CAUUAUUUGACGUUUAGCGACAGAAGAAGCACCGGCUAACUCCGUGCCAGCAGCCGCGGUAAUACGGAGGGGUGCGAGCGUUAAUCGGAAUUACUGGGCGUAAAGACGCAUGCAGGUGGUUUGUUUAAGUUCAGAUGUGAAGACCCGGGGCGUCAACCUCGGAAUAGCAUUUGAAACUAGGCAGACUAGAGUACUGUAGAGGGGGGUAGGAAGUUUUCAGGUGUAGCGGUGAAAUGCGUAGAGAUCUGAAGGAAUACCGAUGGCGAAGGCGGCCCCCUCGGACAGAUACUGACACUCAGAUGCGAAAGCGUGGGGAGCAAACAGGAUUAGAUACCCUGGUAG
rnacentral:rRNA from 1 species